UACAGAGGGUGCGAGCGUUAAUCGGAAUUACUGGGCGUAAAGCGUGCGUAGACGGCUAUCUAAGUCGGGUGUGAAAGCCCCGGGCUCAACCUGGGAAUUGCAUUCGAGACUGAAUAGCUAGGGUACGGUAGAGGGAAGUGGAAUUCCGGUGUAGCGGUGAAAUGCGUAGAUAUCGGAAGGAACAUCAGUGGCGAAAGCGACUUCCUGGACCAGUACCGACGUUCAGGCACGAAAGCGUGGGGAGCAAACAGG
rnacentral:rRNA from 1 species